GUGCUUGUUUUGGCAGCACAUGUGCUAAAAUUCGGAUGAUACAGAGAAGAUUAGCAUGGCCCCUGGGCUAGGAAGACAUGCAAAUUUUUAAAGUGUUCCUAAGUAAA